GUGUCAGCAGCCGCGGUAAUACGGAGGAUGCGAGCGUUAUCCGGAUUUAUUGGGUUUAAAGGGUGCGUAGGCGGACUUAUAAGUCAGUGGUGAAAACCUGCAGCUUAACUGUAGAACUGCCAUUGAUACUGUUAGUCUUGAGUGUGGUCAAGGUAGGCGGAAUGUGUAAUGUAGCGGUGAAAUGCUUAGAUAUUACACAGAACACCGAUUGCGAAGGCAGCUUGCUGGACCGUUACUGACGCUGAUGCACGAAAGCGUGGGGAGCAAACAGGAUUAGAUACCCUGGUAGUCCACGCCGUAAACGAUGAUCACUCGCUGUUGGCGAUAUACAGUCAGUGGCUAAGCAAAAGCAUUAAGUGAUCCACCUGGGGAGUACGGCCGCAAGGCUGAAACUUAAAUGAAUUGACGGGG
rnacentral:rRNA from 1 species